AAAAUGUGUCUGGAAUUGGUGGGUUCUUGGUCUUACUGACUUUAAGAAUGAAGUUGCGGACUUUUGCGGUGAUCCACCCUACCACAUAUUGUCUCCUAAUGGCCGUCCAGUUUAUCCUGGAGCCCUUGCAUGACACAGGCCUAUCGAAGCAUAGGAGAUGCCAAUAUUUUACCUCUUGGGUACUUUCUGUGUAGAAGAUUCAUAACAAGAACAAUACUUAUUCUGCAAUUCUUUAUAUAAAGUAAGAAGAAAGCCCAAAGACAAAACCAGAGGCAACUGGCUGCUGCAUCGCCCACCUAGUGGCAGUAGUGUGAGCUAUGGACAAAAGAUCUAAGUCUCCAGGACAAAGAGUUGUGCAGCUGCUCAUUUUCCUGUUGACUUCUGUCUAAGACUUGGAGAUGUUUGUAAGAUUGGGACCUACCUACAGAGCUCCAGAGGGAAGUGAGAAGGAUGUUCACUUGCUGGUGAGAGAAGGAGCUGGUU
rnacentral:lncRNA from 10 species